GAUACCCUACUAUGCCUAGCCUUAAACUUUGAUAGUAAGACCUACUAUCCGCCAGAGAAUUACGAGCGAAAAGCUUAAAACUCAAAAGACUUGACGGUGCCCCAAACCAACCUAGAGGAGCCUGUCCUAUAAUCGAUGACCCGCGCUUUACCCCACCUGCCCUCGCACAAAUCAGCCAGCCUAUAUACCGCCGCCUUCCAGCCUACCUUACAAAAGUAACACAGCAAGCAAAAUAGCCCCUCCGCUAAAACGUCAGGUCAAGGUGUAGCUAAUGGGCAGGAAAGAGAUGGGCUACAUUCUCUACGCACAUAGACCACCACCCCCGGUAUCAUGAAAACAUACCUCAAAGGAGGAUUUAGUAGUAAUUUAGGCAAGACUUCCUAAAUGAAUCCUGCUCUGGGGCGCGUACACACCGCCCGUCACCCUCA
rnacentral:rRNA from 1 species